rnacentral:misc_RNA from 1 species
GGUACGCUCCAUCCUUUACAAAUUUUGCUCCUGAGAGCUUCUUCCUUAGCGUGAAAGCGCAUGGGCGGUGUUACAAGAAAUAUACACGGAGUUUUAAGGCUGUAAAAGGCUUACUUCGUAUGGGAAUGGCGCCGUGGAUGGUUGGCUGUAGGUAUUCAAUUACCACAAGCUGUUUAGUGCAAUAUGCGAACUUGAAGUCAACUUCAAGC